CUGAGGCGCGAAAGCGUGGGUAGCAAACAGGAUUAGAUACCCUGGUAGUCCACGCCCUAAACGAUGGAUGCUAGGCGUAGGGGGUAUCGACCCCCCCUGUGCCGCAGCUAACGCACUAAGCAUCCCGCCUGGGGACUACGGCCGCAAGGUUGAAACUCAAAUGAAUUGACGGGGACCCGCACAAGCGGUGGAGCAUGUGGAUUAAUUCGAUACUAACCGAAGAACCUUACCCAGGUUUGACAUCGAAGGAAAGCGUCAGAGAUGGCGCCCUCUCCCACAAGGAGACCUGAAGACAGAUGUUGCAUGGCUGUCGUCAGCUCGUGCCGUGAGGUGUACGGUUAAGUCCGCCAACGAGCGCAACCCUCGUCCCGUGUUACCAGCAUGAAAGAUGGGCACUCACGGGAGACCGCCGGUGUAAGCCGGAGGAAGGUGGGGAUGACGUCAAGUCAGCAUGGCUCUUACGCCUGGGGCUUCACACAUGCUACAAUGGGCGCAACAAAGGGCAGCAAUACCGUGAGGUGGAGCAAAUCCCAAAAAUACGCCCCCAGUUCAG
rnacentral:rRNA from 1 species